rnacentral:rRNA from 1 species
GAUGAACGCUAGCUACAGGCUUAACACAUGCAAGUCGAGGGGCAGCGCAGUGUAGCAAUACAUGGGCGGCGACCGGCGCACGGGUGCGUAACGCGUAUCCAACCUUCCCGAUACUCAGGGAUAGCCUUCCGAAAGGGAGAUUAAUACCUGAUGGUGUUUCAAUUCCGCAUGUUAAUGAAACUAAAGAUUUAUCGGUAUCGGAUGGGGAUGCGUGACAUUAGAUAGUAGGCGGGGUAACGGCCCACCUAGUCUACGAUGUCUAGGGGUUCUGAGAGGAAGGUCCCCCACACUGGAACUGAGACACGGUCCAG